CUAGUUUAGCAAAGGCUCUUAGGGCAAAGCAACUGAAGUGCUCUGCUAACAUCUCUGCUUUUUCCCCACUAUUUAGAUUUUGGCCUGGAAAUUCCUUACUGUCUCAGCAGAUCUGUGUUGCUUUUAUGAACUGGUUUUUUGUGUAUUCAUUAUUUUAAGUUGUUCUUCCCUCCAGGUGUGAGGGUUGGCCUGAAUAAUGUAGCCUGCCAUAUGAUUGGAAAGCGAUACAGUUGGACUUGGAUCUUUCGGCUGCAUCGGAAGCACCUGAAGGGCCCCCAUGCGCAGAGUUUCUGAUUCAGUCUGGGAUGGGGCCAAAGAAUUUGCAUUUAUAACAACUUCAGGUGAUGCAGAUUGUCCAGGGAUCACAUUUUGAGUCACUGGAAUAGCUGUAAUGAACAGAAUGCAUACAGAUUUGCUUCAAUAAAUUUCUGAAAAACAAUGCUUCUUCCUUCCACAGUCUGAGCCUAACGUCAAAUACCAUCAGUACGAGGCUUCUCACUUCAUCGGCGCCAUCAUGUGGUGAAACUGUGUAUCACAUUGGAAAACCUGCCACAUAGAGGAAGACAAGUAUCUAAGACCUCUGAGACGAAGCUGAAUAGAAGUGGUGAGAGCAGACAUUUUCAGCUUUUUCCUAAUCCUAGGAUUGAAUAUUUCACCAUCAAGCAUGAUAGGAGCUAUUGGUCUUUCAUAGAUACUCUUUAUAAAAUGAAGUCAGUUCUCUUUUAUUUCUAGUUUUGUGAAUGUUUUCCACAUAAGCUGGCAAUAAAUUGUGUCAAAGGCUUUUUCUAAGUUUAUUGAAAUGAUCAUAACAUUUUUUUCUCUUUUAUUAAUAUGGUAAGCUACAUUGUUUAACUUACUAAAAUGUUGAGCAAACCUUGCAUUCUAGGAAAAAUCCCAGUUGGCCAUUGUAUUUUAUCCUUUAUUGCUAGGGUCAGUCUGCUAGUAUUUUACAUAGUAUUUUUGCAUUUGUAUUCAUGAGUGAUUAUUGGUCUGUGAUCUUUUUCUUCUAAUGUCUUUGUCAGAUAUUUCUAUGAUGGUUAUGUUGUUAUUAUAAAAUUAGUGGGAUAGUAGUCUCUCCUCCUCUGUUUUCUCCAAGAUUUUAUAUAAGAUUGACAGUAUGUCUUCUUUAAAUGUUGAUAAAAUUAAGCAGUGAAAGCAUCGGGGCCUGAGGUUUUCUUUGCAAAGCGUUCUUUAAUUAUGAAUUCAAGUUCUGUAAUAGA